GAGUUUGAUCCUGGCUCAGGAUGAACGCUAGCGGCAGGCCUAACACAUGCAAGUCGAGGGGUAUAAUUAGCUUGCUAAUUAGAGACCGGCGCACGGGUGAGUAACGCGUAUGCAACCUACCCUGUUCUAGGGGAUAGCCCGGAGAAAUCCGGAUUAACACCCUAUAGUAACUUUAGAUCGCAUGAUUUAGAGUUUAAAGGUUACGGAACAGGAUGGGCAUGCGUCCCAUUAGCUAGAUGGUAAGGUAACGGCUUACCAUGGCAACGAUGGGUAGGGGGUCUGAGAGGAUGGUCCCCCACACUGGUACUGAGACACGGACCAGACUCCUACGGGAGGCAGCAGUGAGGAAUAUUGGUCAAUGGACGCAAGUCUGAACCAGCCAUGCCGCGUGCAGGAUGAAUGCCCUCUGGGUUGUAAACUGCUUUUAUCAGGGAAUAAACCUUUCUACGUGUAGAAAGCUGAAGGUACUUGAUGAAUAAGCACCGGCUAACUCCGUGCCAGCAGCCGCGGUAAUACGGAGGGUGCAAGCGUUAUCCGGAAUCAUUGGGUUUAAAGGGUCCGCAGGCGGAUUUAUAAGUCAGUGGUGAAAUCUCUCGGCUCAACCGAGAAACUG
rnacentral:rRNA from 1 species